UACGUAGGGGGCGAGCGUUGUCCGGAAUCAUUGGGCGUAAAGCGCGUGUAGGCGGCCCGGCAAGUCCGCUGUGAAAGUCCAGGGCUCAACCCUGGGAUGCCGGUGGAUACUGUCGGGCUCGAGUCCGGAAGAGGCGAGUGGAAUUCCUGGUGUAGCGGUGAAAUGCGCAGAUAUCAGGAGGAACACCAAUGGCGAAGGCAGCUCGCUGGGACGUGACUGACGCUGAGGAGCGAAAGCGUGGGGAGCGAACAGG
rnacentral:rRNA from 1 species